ACAUAUCUAGCCCUUCCUAAUUCCCUCUGUCAUUUCCCAAGUCUCAACCGAACCAGACGAAGCUAGCUAGCAUUUUGCAAAAACCCUGAUUAAGCCCCCCACUCCCACUACCACACUCACGCUCUCCUUUUAAAGUCACGAGACCCACUGUCCCAUUGUUCAUUCAAUUUUUUGUGUGGGGGGAGAUAAAGAGAGAGAGAGAGAGAGAGUGAGUGGCAGAGGAACUGAUAGAGAACUUUCAAAGCUCUUUAUCUUCUACCAUCACUCAACUAGCCUCUAUAUUGCAGUCUCAAACUGAAAGUCUAACAUAUUUUGUAAAAAGCUUUAGUUUUAUCCCCCCAUCUGAAAGAAAGAGUGUUUGCCUCACAUCGUUUUUUUUUCUCCUUUCUCUCUUUCUGUCUGUCUCUCUCUCUGUCGGUACCAUGAGACCGGAAGGAAACCCGUUAGAUCUUAACAAUUUGCCUGAUGAGUUCUCUAGAGAUGGCAAACAAGUCCUCGAAGACCAUACCUCUUCACCCGGUUGCAGGAAAAAGAAAAGCGGCGGGAAGGAUGGAAAAGACGAGUGUGGGAAGGUCUACGAGUGUAGAUUUUGUUCCCUUAAGUUCUGCAAGUCUCAGGCUCUUGGGGGACACAUGAACCGCCACCGCCAAGGCUAGUACCACCUAUACUAUUACCAUUACUAAACACUUUUCUUUUCUUUUUAUUUUCUUCCUCUUUACUUUAUCCUCUUUCUUUCCACUCUUUAAACUAAACCAUUCACUCAACCAAGUCUCUACUGGCCGUUAAUGAUUUCCUCAUCAAAGGUUGUCAUUUCAAUCACAAAAAGUUGAGUUGUUUUGUUGGAUCGCUGAAAUUCGAGAGGGCCCCUUUUGUUUUUUCUUCCUUUUUAAUUCUUUGUUCUUAUUUAUUUAUCACUAUUAUUACUUGUUUUGUGAUUCUAUUCGGCAGAGAGGGAAACGGAGACGCUGAACCAGGCUCGUCAACUGGUCUUUCGCAGUGAUCAUACCCUUGCUGCACAAGGUGCCCCUCACUUAGGAUGCUGCCAACCGAUAGGAACGGGUGGUUAUCACCCACCAGGAGAUCCAUCGGCACCUCUAAGAUUCCCGAGGUACUUCUCAGGUUCAUCAUCAACUCACAUGCCGCCAGCAGCACCGGCACCGGUAGCUCCACAGCCAUACCUGUAUGCGUCACCCACAAGGCCAGUGUCUUUUGGGUCAUCACACUUCCCUCACCAGCAUCCGGUGAAUGAUUACUAUGUGGGUCAUGUGAUGAGUGGGAGUCACGGACACUAUGUGGGAGGAGGAGGAGGGGGAGGAGAGAGCACAAGUAGUUACACAUGCAUCGGUGCACCGGUAGGACAAGGUGGUGGGUUUGGCAGUGGUGGUGGUGGUGGUGGUAAGGACGGGUCACUGCAUAAUAAUCAGGAGGAAGGGUUGAGUUGGGGAAGGGGGUAUCCGGCAGGAGCACAGCAUCGUUUGGAUCCUCCGUCAGCGAUCAAUCGGUUUCAAGAUGGUUUCUAAUGAGAUUCUUUCUGUGAAGGGUAGUGUUUUUGGUUUUUGUUAUGUGGUAUCAUAAAGACACGCAAUCCAGAGAGAGAGACAUUACAAGCUGACACAUGGGGUCACCAAGGUGUAGCUAAGCUAGGAAGAAGAGAGAGAGAAAGAGAAAGAGAGGUGGUUUUGGUUUAUCUACAGUAACCAGGGACAGCUUUUGAGCUCAUCGACACCCUCAGCUACUUUGGCUUGGAGUUGUGGGGUUAAUGCCUUCCAUUUCUUCUCAACAUCGUCUUUUGUAUUGCUACCUAGCUAGCUGGGACAACCAGUUAGAUAUGAACUGAAACUUUCCAAACCCCUUUUUGCAUUUCUCACUCCUUCACUUCCUUUUGCAUGCCAAAUUACAAACACUUCCCUUCUCUAAUCUUUUCCUUCACUAUACUAUACUAAUAU